GCCGGGUUAGCUCAGUUGGUAGAGCAGCUGAUUUGUAAUCAGUUGGUCGGGGGUUCGACUCCUCUACCCGGCACCG
rnacentral:tRNA from 2 species